AUUGAACGCUGGCGGCAGGCCUAACACAUGCACGUCGAGCUAGCGGCGGACGGGCGAGCAAUGUAUGGGGACUGCCCGAUAGAGGGGGAUCACUACUGGAAACGGUGGCUAAUACCGCAUACUGUCGGAAAACCCAUAUGUGAUUAGCUAGUAGGUAAGGUAAUGGCUUACCUAGGCGACGACCCCUAGCUGGUCUGAGAGGAUGAUCAGCCACACUGGGACUGAGACACGGCCCAGACUCCUACGGGGGCAGCAGUGGGGAAUAUUGCACAAUGGGCGCAAGCCUGAUGCAGCCAGGCCGCGUGUAUGAAGAAGGCCCUGGGGUUGUAAAGUACGUUCAGUCGGGAGGCGUUACCGACAGAAGAAGCACCGGCUAACUCCGUGCCAGCAGCCGCGGUAAUAC
rnacentral:rRNA from 1 species